rnacentral:rRNA from 1 species
AGAAUCAACGCUGGCGGCGUGCCUCAGACAUGCAAGUCGAACGCGAAAGUCCCCUUCGGGGGAUGAGUAGAGUGGCGUCCGGGUGAGUAACACGUAGGUAAUCUACCUUUGGGUGGGGAAUAACAACCGGAAACGGUUGCUAAUACCGCAUAAUGCAGCGGCACCGCAUGGUGACAGUUGUUAAAGCGGGGGAUCGCAAGACCUCGCGCCUAAAGAGGAGCCUGUGGCGGAUUAGCUAGUUGGCAGGGUAACGGCCUACCAAGGCAACGAUCCGUA